AAAUCUCACAAGACACAAACUGUUCAAGGGAAGAAUUAGGAACAAAGACAACUUGGGGACUGGAGAGAACUUGGAGAGCAUUUAGAGAAAAGCGGGGAAAUGAUUGAUGGGUUGGAAAAUAGGAGCAUGGAUGAAUGGUGAGGGGAAUGGAGAUGAUUUAACUGGGACAGAGAGGCUGACAGGUGACCUAGUAAUAGGCUUCCAGUUUGUGGAGGGUUAGGACAUGGAGACUGGCUUCCCACUACCAGGGAAGAAAAGACACUUAAAGUGGGAGGUAGGGGAGCCUGAGGCUACAGGAAGAACUCCUUAUCACAGGGUCUGUUAAUUAUAGCAAGGCAGGAUGGAUCACAAGCUCUUCCACCAAGCAGUCUUCCCAGACGAGAGCAGCACUGGGACGGUGGUAGGGAUUUCUGUAAGUCAUCCAGUGCACAGCUUCCCGAUCGCUUGUCCUCAGAUAGUAGCGAGAUGGCUGCCUCAGCAUCUCCAGGGACACGUAGUAAAAAAUACAAUUUCGUGGGCCCUAUCCAGACCUCCUGGUUUAGAGUUUCUGGGAGGAAAGUCCAGGUGUCUGUAUUCUUAAAACACACACAAACACACCCCACCCCCCCCCACCCCCCCACCCCACACACACACACACACACCCCACCCCACCAGGACAAAUGCAGAACUAACUCAUUGAGAACCAAGAGGCUGGUGAUGUGAGGAAAGAGGAAAUGCCUCCCCCGGAUUCCUCAGGUUGCUGCCUGCAGCAUCCCGCUAGAUCUUCCACUGCCCGGGAGCUGCUCAGGAGCCCAGGCCACACCUGCCCUGGUGGCUCCGUCCAGCAUCCCUGCUGGGUCACUUGGAAUGGACGCUGGGGCAUCAAAGCUGCCCUACAGCUCUGAAGAACCCCUGCGUCUCUCCCUAAUGACAAGGGUGCUGGGAAAAAUGCUCAUUCCAUGUUUUUAUCUGGACUUCACCAGCAGUCACUGAAGUCUUAGGUCACAGUUCUGUGGAGUUUUCCAACGGGUCCCUCAGACACCACCGCUGCCCCACAGGGGCUAGAAUGGAAUGAGCUUGGGAGUCAAGAGAUGUAUCUGCCUUGAGCUUGAGCAGGUCAUUUUACCUCUCCCCGUUGCAGUUUCUUUCUCUGGAAAAGGAGACACCCGGACUGGACAGUCUCUGAGGUCCAUCCAGCUCUACCUUUCUGUCUCUACUGGCUGUUUGAAGAAUUGCAAUGCUCGAAGAGUAUAAAGUAGAUUCAGUGUAAUAUUUCGUAGUGAAGUAUUUUAAAUUCAAUGUUUUUUUUUUCUUUGCAUAACUUAUCCUAGGGAAGUUGGGAAGGAUGAGGAAAAAUAUACGAAUCCACUCGUCUCCAGCUAGCUCAGCUUGUGUGUAGGCCUGCCGUUCACCACACACGACCAUGCGCAAGCUCUCUGGUCCCUUGGUGGCAGCAUACCAAACUACAGAUUCUGUUCUUUGGCCUCAGAACAGUCUUGUGUAUGUUUUAAAUGUGUAGCUUGGAAUCAACGAGUAUUUUUCAUGGGGAGACUAGGAAGGUUGGGGGGCUGGGAUCAUUAUUUCACACACUUAUUUGCUUGUUUCUUGCUGAAUUCCAGAUUGCGGUGGUACUUUAAAAAAAAAAAAAGCUCCAAUAUCAAUUUUAAUUUUGCUUCUAACCUUUUGGACCAGCCACACCCUGACACUUAAAAAAUAAUAAUGAAAUGUUAGUAUAAGAAAAAUUGCUAGCUGACUAUCCCAGCCUUCCUCCUUAGUAACUAAACCUGAUUUGGGGCACAUUGCUACCUAGACUGUAAUAGACUUUCCAGUGUCCUGCAUGGCCAGGUGAGCUCUGGACGAUGAUAGAGAUAAACUAAAUUACUGUAGGCUAUAAUUUAAGGAAGCCUCCUUUAAAAAAGUAAGGAAAGGAUCCUUUUUUCCUUUCUCCCUUCCUCCCUUCAUUUCUCCUUCCCUCCCUUCUGCCUCCCUCCCUCCUUCCCAGGGUGCAGUUGUAAUGGCUGGAGUUCUAGCAGCCACUUUGGACCAUAAGAUGGAAGCCAAGCAUUGAGGAUGGCAAAGCAGAAAGCUGAAAGCCUGGGACAGGAUGACCAUGGGGCUGCCAUCCCAUCCCAGGACUGUCUCCCUUCAGACAUCUUUUAUGUGAGAGAAAAAUAAAGCCACUAUUAUCUUUUGUUUUAUUUAUGCAGCUGCACCAAAUUCUAAUGAAUCCAUAUAAGUUCCAGGUGAGCUGGCUUAGAUGGUGAGAACCAAGGUCAAAGGCAAAGGGUAGCCCUGAUAAGCAAAUGCCACUGCUGAGUUGCUCAGAGCAGUAGACUUUUGCUAUAACAUAGCACAGGAAAGGAGAGAUUUUGGAGACAGAUGGAGUGUGACGUCGAGCUCUGCCUGAGACCGACUGUGAUCUUGAUCAACUGAUUGUCUUGAGUCUGGAUUUCCUAAUUUGUAAAUUAGAGUAAUAAUCUCCACCCCGCAGGCCAUUCAUUGGCAUUAGACAUCGUAUGUAUUAGGUGUCUUGUUUAGUACCUAGCACACAGCUGGUGCUUAAAAAUAGUGGCUCUGUGUGUACAUAGGCACAUGGUAUGUCCCCCUGGCCACAGACACUGUGCUAUGCGCUGGGGACAUACAGAGGCAUACGGUGUAGCCCCAGCUCUGAGGGGGCGUGAAGGCCACUGGGACAUCUCCAGUGUUGUAGCAUGGGGCCCAGAAACCUGUAAACCCGGUGUGGCGGCCCAGUGCAGAGACUUAGGAUACAAAGAGAGAGGAACUUAAGUUAUGUUGUGGAAAUGUGACUUCUUAAUACCGUUCAGAAAAUAGGUACAGAGGCAACAGUCCCAAUCUUCUGCUAGAAAUUUCACUCGGCUAAAAGCAGAACGUUUAAAUACACUCUUGCCAUGGGCUGCUGAGAGGUCCAGCUCUCAAGAAGUGGGAGCAGCUCUAGGGAUGGCCACGCUGGGCUCACUUCCGAGAAAGAGGAAGAGUUAGUUGGGGUGAGGAAAUCAUGGAGGAGAAAGACCAGUCAUUUCGGGGCUCCUCGUCCUGAAAGCAGAGACUGCCGUACAGAACUCAGCCCACGGAGGUCAGCCACAGACACCUCAGGAAGCACAAAGAAGAGAACGAUCUUGUGAUUCCAGGAGAGUCUCUGAAAAGAAGGUAGUUCAAGAAGAGUAGAACAAGCAGGGGCUUGCAGAGAAUGAGAAUACCACAUGGGCCUCUGCGGUGAAUUUAAGGCAAGAAGGAGAAUGAGGAAGCAACAGCCCCUGCCUCUCACCUGCUGCACAGCCGGUUCCUAACAGGUCAUGGACCGGUACCGGUCCGCCAUUGUGGGGACUGGGGACUCCUGCUCUAUGAAACAAAAAAUGAGAAAGUAAACACACAGAUAUCCAGAAGCAUAAAACAAAAUGACAGAAGUAGGGUUGAACGUUUAACUAUGCUAAAAUAUGAAUUUGGGCUGAAAAAUAAUUAGACAAAGUUUUAUAUUUACGUAUAAUGAUGUUCAUUUCAGCUCAUGUAUAACAGCAAGAAAAGAGGAGAGAACCUAACAUCAAAGGGGAAUGUUUAAAUGUGUUAUAACUCAUAUGAUGAGCUAAUAAAACUUAUGUUUUUGAAGCCAACAAGUUGAAAUGCUCAUUUCACAUUAAUAGCAGGAUAUAAAAUAUAUGGACAGCAUAUGAAUUUGAAUAAAGUUUAAAAGGAAAAUAAAUAUGCAUAGUAUCACAUUUUUGUACAGUAUAAAAAUAAAUUCAAUAGUAUCUUAAUAAAAAUUCUGGGCCAAAACUAAUGAGAUAAAUUUAGUAUUAGAAAUGCUAAGUUAUGGGCUCAGCCUCAAAAAAUAGGAAUGAAAGAGGACUAACUUAACUAUUGCAUUUAUGAAAAGGAUCGGGGGGAUUUCACUGCCCCAGGCUUGGUGUUGUGAUUGUAGUCGAAGCUGACCUGGGUUGCCUUGGUGGCAGUCUGCGGUGUCCAGCUCAGGGCCCCUUAGCCAUUCACUCAGCAGACAAAGAAUACUAAUAGUAGGUGAUAACCACUGCUGCAGGGAUGACACAUUAGCAUUAGGUGACAAAUAAACCAUCUCCAGUCAACAUUAUCCCUGCUGCAUCCAACCAGCACAGCCGGGAAAGCAAACAAUGAGGCAGAAGCGCGUUUCCUCACUCUGAAAGGCAUGCAUGCACUGGAAGUUGGGUUCAUUGGAGAGCAGGGUGGCUUCACAUCGGGAUCUGUGGCAGGACAGCCUCAGAGCUUGGCAGUGUUGUCUGGGAACUGGGCAAUAUCAAUAAUAAGGUGCUUCCAGUGACAGUCUACGUCUUCAUCUUUACAAAAGCUUUCAGAGAUAAGAUUAUUGCUCCAGUUUUCAGAUGGGGAACAAAAUGAGACAGGAUUAGUGAUUCUUUCAAGAGUCCUCAUAAACUACAACUGGAUGAUGCCCCCUGAGUACCUGUGCUUGAGGAGGGGGGCAAAUAGCAC
rnacentral:lncRNA from 1 species